rnacentral:rRNA from 1 species
GAUGAGCGCUGGCGGCGUGCCUAAUACAUGCAAGUCGAGCGAACGGACGAGAAGCUUGCUUCUCUGAUGUUAGCGGCGGACGGGUGAGUAACACGUGGAUAACCUACCUAUAAGACUGGGAUAACUUCGGGAAACCGGAGCUAAUACCGGAUGAUAUUUUGAACCGCAUGGUUCAAAAGUGAAAGACGGUCUUGCUGUCACUUAUAGAUGGAUCCGCGCUGCAUUAGCUAGUUGGUAAGGUAAUGGCUUACCAAGGCAACGAUGCAUAGCCGACCUGAGAGGGUGAUCGGCCACACUGGAACUGAGACACGGUCCAGACUCCUACGGGAGGCAGCAGUAGGGAAUCUUCCGCAAUGGGCGAAAGCCUGACGGAGCAACGCCGCGUGAGUGAUGAAGGUCUUCGGAUCGUAAAACUCUGUUAUUAGGGAAGAACAUAUGUGUAAGUAACUGUGCACAUCUUGACGGUACCUAAUCAGAAAGCCACGGCUAACUACGUG